GGAGGGUGCAAGCGUUAUCCGGAUUCACUGGGUUUAAAGGGAGCGUAGGUGGGCAGGUAAGUCAGUGGUGAAAUCUCUGGGCUCAACCCGGAAACUGCCAUUGAUACUAUUUGUCUUGAAUUAUCUGGAGGUAAGCGGAAUAUGUCAUGUAGCGGUGAAAUGCUUAGAUAUGACAUAGAGCACCCAUUGCGAAGGCAGCUUACUACGGAUACGUUGACACUGAGGCACGAAAGCGUGGGGAUCAAACAGGAUUAGAUACCCUGGUAGUCCACGCCCUAAACGAUGGAUACUCGACAUACGCGAUACACUGUGUGUGUCUGAGCGAAAGCAUUAAGUAUCCCACCUGGGAAGUACGAUCGCAAGAUUG
rnacentral:rRNA from 1 species